AACUGGCCACGCGGAUGAGACAGACAUUCCAGACACAGUUAAAUAACAGCACAAGGCUGGAUCAAUCUGUGCUCAGGAAGUCCUGGAAGUCAGUGUUCACCAUCUGUUCAGGACAACCCAGGAGGGCUUCCUGGAGGAGGAUCAGUGGUGUGGAAGCUGAGGCCUGAGGGACACCAAGAACACCCAGCCUGGUGGCCUGCCUCAGUUUCCCCUCCUCUGGAGCCCCCAGGCCACAGUAACCCUCCUCCCAAAGCGCUCGGGUCUGAAAUGAGCAAGAGGCUGCUGGAGUCUCUGCAGGGUCAGCCCGGGGAAGCGCGAGAGGACUCUCAGACAGGCCCUGAGCCUCGGGGAUUCGGAAGAACUCGCCUUGAAGCCCAGAGUCUAUUUUGCAAGCGAGGGCAGAGGCAGGCCGUCCACAGUCACCAGCGCCCUGAGCCCCCACUUGCUGGCCUCCUGGCUCCUGGCCCAGUGGGGCAGCUGUCUGAGGUACUGAUCCAGCUGUGUUUGGCUCUUCUCCUCUAUCUGGCCUCACGUCUGGGGACCAGGGGCCUGUCUGCUCAGCUGCCUCCACCUGCCUGGAACCUCAAAACCUCACCUCCCUGGCCUGGCAGAGCCCCCAGCUCCGCCCAUCCAGCCCCAGAGACGCAAAGCUGCAGCUAGGGCGGGAGGCCUCCAGCCCUUACCUGCUGCCUCCCCCUCCG
rnacentral:lncRNA from 1 species